AUACGUAGGUGACAAGCGUUAUCCGGAUUUACUGGGCGUAAAGGGCGUGUAGGCGGUCUUGCAAGUCAGAAGUGAAAUUCCUGAGCUCAACUCGGGCGCUGCUUCUGAAACUGCAGGACUUGAGUGCUGGAGGGGAUAGCGGAAUUCCUAGUGGAGCGGUAACAUGCGCAGAAAUUAGGAAGAACACCGGUGGCGAAGGCGGCUGUCUGGACAUUAACAGACGCUGAGGCGCGAAAGCGUGGGGAACAAACAGGAAUAGAUACCCGGGCACACCACGCCGUAAACGAUGAAUACUAGGUAUAGGGGGUAUCGACUCCCUCUGUCCCGCAGUUAACACAAUUAGGAUUCCGCCUGGGGAGUUCGGCCGCAAGGUUGAAACUCAAAGGAAUUGACGGGG
rnacentral:rRNA from 1 species